rnacentral:rRNA from 1 species
UACGUAGGGGGCAAGCGUUGUCCGGAUUUAUUGGGCGUAAAGAGCGUGUAGGCGGCCGUACAGGUCAGCUGUGAAAACUCGAGGCUCAACCUCGAGACGUCGGUUGAAACCGUACGGCUAGAGUCCGGAAGAGGAGAGUGGAAUUCCCGGUGUAGCGGUGAAAUGCGCAGAUAUCGGGAAGAACACACGUGGCGAAGGCGGCUCUCUGGGACGGUACUGACGCUGAGACGCGAAAGCGUGGGGAGCGAACAGG